rnacentral:rRNA from 1 species
UACAGAGGGUGCAAGCGUUAAUCGGAAUUACUGGGCGUAAAGCGUGCGUAGACGGUUGCGUAAGUCAGAUGUGAAAGCCCCGGGCUCAACCUGGGAAUUGCAUUUGAGACUGCGUAGCUAGGGUGCGGAAGAGGCGAGUGGAAUUCCUGGUGUAGCGGUGGAAUGCGCAGAUAUCAGGAGGAACACCAAUAGCGAAGGCAGCUCGCUGGGACGGUACUGACACUAAGGCGCGAAAGCGUGGGGAGCGAACAGG